AUGCCCAACAACAGGGACGUGUACAAAAGGAUCCUCAUCGAGUUGGCACUGAAGCGCUCCGUGAAGCCUUGGUUCAUGAACGAGGCCAGGAUCGAAAGAACCACUUCCAUGACGGCAUGAAGAUGACCAAGCCGAUAAAGACCUCUGACUGAAAUAUAUCGACUUGGCCCCAAGUCAGAUGUACUCCUCCCAAGAGUACCAAUCCCACCAAGAUCGACCACCUUAGCAUGAUUCGAGCCAUGAAGCAACUGGCUUUGGAACGUCUUUCCUUCUUGAGGUCGGUUCCCUGGCAUUUCUCGACAAGCCAAUUAGCGUCCGCCAUCAACAGCUGGUUGGCACUCUCAGCCUUUGGUCUUCGGCCCAACUCGCAUGAAUUCCCGCUCCAAUUCUCGCGGUCGUUCCCGACACCAAAACGACGACUACCAAUACGUCUGCCAAUACGGGAACAACACGCUCUUGACAUUAUGGAUCAUGAAUCGCCAACAGUGGAAUUUGGUGCGUGUUCCUCACAACAUGAACUUGACAGAGGUUGUCAAAAAUUCGAGAAAAAGGUGGUAGACCUUUAUGUUCCGGAAAGUUUAUCGUUCUAGAUUUUGCACUAAACAUGCAUUUCUUGGAAAAAAUUCCAUAACAUAGCGACCAUCUCUCACGCUAAAUCCUCUCGUACUUCACAAACGUUCUGAAAGAUUUUUUCGAGAAAAAUGGUCAUUAGCCUUGCAAUGAGACUCCCUACCGAUGGGUUGCGAUUGGAAGAAAACGUUGAUAUCAUCCAUGAAAAAAGAGACUGUUAUAUCAGUUUGUGCACCUUCCUUGCAUUAUUUCAAACCUCAUUUAAUUUGCAUAUUAAUAUGUAUGGCUGCUUAGUCCUAAUCUAAUGCCAAACUUCUGCUCAUUGGUAGGCUUUUUGUUUUAAAGAAAUGUAAGGAUUGCUAGCAGAAUAGCUGUAUAGAAUAUUCCUGUCUGGCUUGCUCUCAUCGCACUCUCUGGGAGUUGCUUCCUCUAUGGGAUAACCCUUGAUAUGUGCCCACGACAAAGUAACACAUUCGUUCUUAGUUGUGAAUACUUUGUCCAUCUGGGAUAUGCGUGUGGCAUAC